UACGUAGGGUGCAAGCGUUGUCCGGAAUUAUUGGGCGUAAAGAGCUCGUAGGCGGUUUGUCGCGUCUGCUGUGAAAACCCGAGGCUCAACCUCGGGCCUGCAGUGGGUACGGGCAGACUAGAGUGCGGUAGGGGAGAUUGGAAUUCCUGGUGUAGCGGUGGAAUGCGCAGAUAUCAGGAGGAACACCGAUGGCGAAGGCAGAGU
rnacentral:rRNA from 1 species